rnacentral:rRNA from 1 species
UAGUGGCGAACGGGUGAGUAACACGUGAGUAACCUGCCCUUGACUCUGGGAUAAGCCUGGGAAACUGGGUCUAAUACCGGAUACGACCAUCUGACGCAUGUCAUGGUGGUGGAAAGCUUUUGUGGUUUUGGAUGGACUCGCGGCCUAUCAGCUUGUUGGUGGGGUAAUGGCCUACCAAGGCGACGACGGGUAGCCGGCCUGAGAGGGUGACCGGCCACACUGGGACUGAGACACGGCCCAGACUCCUACGGGAGGCAGCAGUGGGGAAUAUUGCACAAUGGGCGAAAGCCUGAUGCAGCGACGCCGCGUGAGGGAUGACGGCCUUCGGGUUGUAAACCUCUUUCAGUAGGGAAGAAGCGAAAGUGACGGUACCUGCAGAAGAAGCGCCGGCUAACUACGUGCCAGCAGCCGCGGUAAUACGUAGGGCGCAAGCGUUAUCCGGAAUUAUUGGGCGUAAAGAGCUCGUAGGCGGUUUGUCGCGUCUGCUGUGAAAGACCGGGGCUCAACUCCGGUUCUGCAGUGGGUACGGGCAGACUAGAGUGCAGUAGGGGAGACUGGAAUUCCUGGUGUAGCGGUGAAAUGCGCAGAUAUCAGGAGGAACACCGAUGGCGAAGGCAGGUCUCUGGGCUGUAACUGACGCUGAGGAGCGAAAGCAUGGGGAGCGAACAGGAUUAGAUACCCUGGUAGUCCAUGCCGUAAACGUUGGGCACUAGGUGUGGGGGACAUUCCACGUUUUCCGCGCCGUAGCUAACGCAUUAAGUGCCCCGCCUGGGGAGUACGGCCGCAAGGCUAAAACUCAAAGGAAUUGACGGGGGCCCGCACAAGCGGCGGAGCAUGCGGAUUAAUUCGAUGCAACGCGAAGAACCUUACCAAGGCUUGACAUGAACCGGAAAGACCUGGAAACAGGUGCCCCGCUUGCGGUCGGUUUACAGGUGGUGCAUGGUUGUCGUCAGCUCGUGUCGUGAGAUGUUGGGUUAAGUCCCGCAACGAGCGCAACCCUCGUUCUAUGUUGCCAGCGCGUUAUGGCGGGGACUCAUAGGAGACUGCCGGGGUCAACUCGGAGGAAGGUGGGGACGACGUCAAAUCAUCAUGCCCCUUAUGUCUUGGGCUUCACGCAUGCUACAAUGGCCGGUACAAAGGGUUGCGAUACUGUGAGGUGGAGCUAAUCCCAAAAAGCCGGUCUCAGUUCGGAUUGGGGUCUGCAACUCGACCCCAUGAAGUCGGAGUCGCUAGUAAUCGCAGAUCAGCAACGCUGCGGUGAAUACGUUCCCGGGCCUUGUACACACCGCCCGUCAAGUCACGAAAGUUGGUAAC